GACCUGGCUCAGGACGAACGCUGGCGGCGCGCCUAACACAUGCAAGUCGAACGAGUGAGAGAGAGCUUGCUUUCUCGAGCGAGUGGCGAACGGGUGAGUAACGCGUGAGGAACCUGCCUCAAAGAGGGGGGCAACAGUUGGAAACGACUGCUAAUACCGCAUAAGCCCACGACCCGGCAUCGGGUAGAGGGAAAAGGAGCAAUCCGCUUUGAGAUGGCCUCGCGUCCGAUUAGCUAGUUGGUG
rnacentral:rRNA from 1 species